UACAGAGGGUGCGAGCGUUAAUCGGAAUUACUGGGCGUAAAGGGCGCGUAGGCGGUUAUUUAAGAGAGAUGUGAAAUCCCUGGGCUUAACCUAGGAACUGCAUCUCAGACUGGAUGACUGGAGUGCGGUAGAGGGUAGUGGAAUUUCCGGUGUAGCGGUGAAAUGCGUAGAUAUCGGAAGGAACACCAGUGGCGAAGGCGGCUACCUGGACUGACACUGACGCUGAGGCGCGAGAGCGUGGGGAGCAAACAGG
rnacentral:rRNA from 1 species